GACAGAGGAUGCAAGCGUUAUCCGGAAUGAUUGGGCGUAAAGCGUCUGUAGGUGGCUUUUUAAGUCCGCCGUCAAAUCCCAGGGCUCAACCCUGGACAGGCGGUGGAAACUACCAAGCUGGAGUACGGUAGGGGCAGGAGGGAAUUUCCGGGUUGGAGCGGUGGAAAUGACGUAGAGAUCGGAAAGAACACCAACGGCGAAAGCACUCUGCUGGGCCGAUACUGACGCUGAGGAGCGAAAGCGUGGGGAGCGAACAGG
rnacentral:rRNA from 1 species